rnacentral:rRNA from 1 species
AUUGAACGCUGGCGGCAUGCUUUACACAUGCAAGUCGAACGGUAACAGGGUGCUUGCACCGCUGACGAGUGGCGAACGGGUGAGUAAUGCGUCGGAACGUGCCGAGUAGUGGGGGAUAACGCAGCGAAAGUUGUGCUAAUACCGCAUACGUACUGAGGUAGAAAGUGGGGGACCUUCGGGCCUCACGCUAUUCGAGCGGCCGACGUCUGAUUAGCUAGUAGGUGAGGUAAAGGCUCACCUAGGCGACGAUCAGUAGCGGGUCUGAGAGGAUGGUCCGCCAAACUGGGACUGAGACACGGCCCAGACUCCUACGGGAGGCAGCAGUGGGGAAUUUGGGACAAUGGGCGAAAGCCUGAUCCAGCCAUGCCGCGUGUCUGAAGAAGGCCUUCGGGUUGUAAAGGACUUUUGUCAGGGAGGAAAUCCCUAGUGCUAAUAACACUGGGGGAUGACAGUACCUGAAGAAUAAGCACCGGCUAACUACGUGCCAGCAGCCGCGGUAA